rnacentral:rRNA from 1 species
UACGGGGGGAGCAAGCGUUGUUCGGAUUUACUGGGCGUAAAGGGCGCGUAGGCGGCCAGCACAAGUCAGUUGUGAAAUCUCCGAGCUUAACUCGGAACGGUCAACUGAUACUGUGCGGCUAGAGUGCGGAAGGGGCAACUGGAAUUCUUGGUGUAGCGGUGAAAUGCGUAGAUAUCGAGAGGAACACCUGCGGCGAAGGCGGGUUGCUGGGCUGACACUGACGCUGAUGCGCGAAAGCCAGGGGAGCGAACGGG